GGUGGAUCUGUAGUUCCUCUCAUCUUGGCGAUGGAAGGUUAAUAUGUGGUUCCUCUCAUCUUGGCGAUGGAAGGUGAAUGUAGUUCAUCUCAUCUUGGCGAUGGAAGAAGAAUCUGUAGUUCCUCUCAUCUUGGCGAUGGAAGGUGAAUCUGUAGUUCCUCUCAUCUUGGCGAUGGAAGGUGAAUCUGUAGUUCCUCUCAUCUUGGCGAUGGAAGGUGAAUGUAGUUCCUCUCAUCUUGGCGAUGGAAGGUGGAUCUGUAGUUCCUCUCAUCUUGCCGAUGGAAGGUGGAUCUGUAGUUCCUCUCAUCUUGGCGAUGAUAGGUUAAUCUGUGGUUCCUCUCAUCUUGGCGAUGGAAGGUGGAUCUGUAGUUCCUCUCAUCUUGGCGAUGGAAG
rnacentral:lncRNA from 1 species